AUAGUUUAUCAUUUUUCUUCUUCGUUUUUUAUAAUUCAAGAAUAGUUGAAUAUUGUGAUACCGAUGAUGGUAAAAUAUCGAUGAUAAAAAAACAGUAUGUUACAAUACUAGUAGGCAAAGUAAGAGACUUGAAUUUGAGAUUAAAAUUACAGAAUUUCAACAAGAGAAUUAUAUGAAUUUGGAUUAUAUUACCUUAAUGAUUAUCUUUUGAAGUAUCGGUAAAGUUACAUUGAUUUAGAGUUUGAAGAAGGAAUCAGACUCUCAGCACUUAGCGGCUGCUCAUGUGUUUAUUAUGCUAUAUGGUUUGGAAAUGUUGCAUAUGCGACAAGUAAAAGCCAACGAGUCAGUCACAGAGUUGGAAAGAGCAGCAACCGAAAUAUCAUCAGUCGCAAGAGGAUUAACAGCAAAAAAAUACGCCUCAAGUAUGCCAACUUUCAAGACCAAAUUACUCAGAUUUUCAUCAAGGAAUUGAAGCUUGAAUAUAUUUCCAGACUAAGAGCUCAAGUUGAGAAGUUUUAAGGAGUCUCAGGAAAAAUAAACUUUAAUUUAGAAUCUUUAUUAUGAAUAAAUUAAAGUUCAACAUAUUUAGAAUGUGGUGCAAUAACUUUUUGUAUGUUUGUUUUGG
rnacentral:lncRNA from 1 species